GAUGAACGCUGGCGGCGUGCCUAAUACAUGCAAGUCGAGCGAACGGACGAGAAGCUUGCUUCUCUGAUGUUAGCGGCGGACGGGUGAGUAACACGUGGAUAACCUACCUAUAAGACUGGGAUAACUUCGGGAAACCGUAGCUAAUACCGGAUAAUAUUUUGAACCGCAUGGUUCAAAAGUGAAAGACGGUCUUGCUGUCACUUAUAGAUGGAUCCGCGCUGCAUUAGCUAGUUGGUAAGGUAACGGCUUACCAAGGCAACGAUGCAUAGCCGACCUGAGAGGGUGAUCGGCCACACUGGAACUGAGACACGGUCCAGACUCCUACGGGAGGCAGCAGUAGGGAAUCUUCCGCAAUGGGCGAAAGCCUGACGGAGCAACGCCGCGUGAGUGAUGAAGGUCUUCGGAUCGUAAAACUCUGUUAUUAGGGAAGAACAUAUGUGUAAGUAACUGUGCACAUCUGGACGGUACCUAAGCAGAAAGCCACGGCUAACUACGU
rnacentral:rRNA from 1 species